UCCGGGUGUGAUGGCACAGUCCUGUGGUCUCAGUUACUGGGGAGGCUAAGGGGAGAAGAUUGUUUGAGCCCAGCAGUUGUGGGCUGUAGUGCUCUGUGGUGGCCGGGUGUCCAAAGUAGGUUUGGCAUCCAUAUGGUGACCUCCCAGGAAUAGGAGCCACCUGAUGGCUUUAGGAGGGGUGAAUCAGCCCAUAUCAGAAAGAGAACAGCAGGUCAGCGCCCCCAUGCUGGUCAGUAGUGGGGUCAUGUCUGUGAGUGGCCAUGGUACUCUAGCAUGGACGACAUAAAGAGACUUCAUCUCUA
rnacentral:SRP_RNA from 1 species